GUACUUCCUGUCAAGCACAUGCUAUGUUGGAAUGGCAAAGAGAAGAUUAGCAUGGGCCCUGUACAAGAAUGACAUAAAUAUACACAGAGCAUCCUAUAAUGUUA
ensembl:snRNA U6 U6 spliceosomal RNA